GACGAACGCUGGCGGCGUGCUUAACACAUGCAAGUCGAACGGAAAGGCCCUGCGAUUGUGGGGUGCUCGAGUGGCGAACGGGUGAGUAACACGUGAGUAACCUGCCCUUGACUUUCGGAGAACUUCAGGAAACGGGGGCUAAUACCGGAUAGGAGCCCCUGCUGCAGGGUGGGGGGUGGAAAGUUGCGGCUGUUGGGGAUGGACUCGCGGCUUAUGAGCUUGUUGGUGGGGUAGUGGCUUACCAAGGCUUUGGCGGGUAGCCGGCCUGGGAGGGUGACCGGCCACCUUGGGACUGAGAUACGGCCCAGACUCCUACGGGAGGCAGCAGUGGGGAAUCUUGCCCAAUGGGCGGAAGCCUGAUGCAGCAACGCCGCGUGCGGGAUGACGGCCUUCGGGUUGUAAACCGCUUUCGCCUGUGACGCAGCGUGAGUGACGGUAAUGGGUAAAGAAGCACCGGCUAACUACGUG
rnacentral:rRNA from 1 species